AAGACCUUACUCUUAGGGAUCAUUUCUAUAGUAAGUGUCGCCAGGACGUCAGGUAAAACUGACGGGACCGAAUACCACGAGGACGAGACAGAGCGCCCCCUUCUGAGCGCGAAGCGGGCAGAGGCUGUUGCUUAACAGAGCGACUCGGCCUCUGUCAUUGAUGAACGUUCCUCUCCUCCCUAAGUGGGGAGUUGGAGGAAGGGGGCGCAUUCUGAGUGGC